AAUACCUUGUUUUUCAUCUCCUUAUGGGGUAGUUUCAUUACCACACGCUGUCACAGAAAGUCUCACUGAAGUCUUUAGUGUGCUUCAAGCAGAAUUCUGAAAUGAGGUGGUCCAGAGUAUAGCUGUGGAAGUAAUGAAGAGCUAUAAAUACAUAUGUUUUAAGCCAGGGUCAAAAUACUCAAGGAUCAUAAUAAAAGAUGAAUGUAUUGCAAUUAAGUAUGCCUUCUUUAAAAAAAGAUAUCCUGUAAGAAGUAGCUACCUAAAACUACAAAUAAAUAAAUGAAUAGCUGUGCUGGAAGUUGCAAUUAUUUAGCGUAGAACUAGAAUGCAUUAUUUUUAAACAGUGAGAACAACUGAACACUCAUAAGCAUUCAAACACAUAACCAGCAACAGCAGUGGAUUCUCUACCACGAACAAUAAUUCUCAAAAGUAUCUGUUAGCCAAAGUAAAAUUAUUUCUUGUAAAUUCUAUGUUUUAAGAUAUGAAAAUAAUUAGACUGCUCUAAUGGCAUUUUCUGAGCUCAGUCUAGAAUCUACUUACUGACUUGUUGCUUUAUUAAUUCCUUUUUUUGGGUCAAUUUCCUGUAAAACAUACAAACAAUCUAUUUCCAUGGGUUUCUAGGCACAGCCUGGAAAUAUGACACAGAUACUAGCUUGCUAAGACAGUUAAUAAUUUUCUCUCUAUAUUCUCAUCCUAAGAAAUGUACUAUAUUAUAUCCCUUCACACUCAGUCAUUUGCAACCAGUGUAUACCACUUGAGACUCUUCUUAUGCAAACACUUAGGUUUAAGUAUUUAACUGCUACCAAAUCUCUUCCUUGCUUCCUCUGUCUAGACAACCUGUGUCAGUACUACAUCUGUAUGCAAAAUAAGUAGCUGACCCCUUUUGAUUUAAAUUUCAAGCUAAACUGCUGUAGAGAGCCUAUGAUGGAUGCAGAAUAAAUCAGCUGUUUAAGAAAGCAAUAGAUGUCUGCUCUCAUCUCCUUGAGUGAUGCUGAUCUAACGCCUGUAUUCUAAAAUUGCUGUGAGGAUCUCCCAUGUGGCAAAAGGCAGCCAGCACGGACAAUGAGUGGGCUCACUGCUUUCAGCCUUAUGAUUAUACAAUUAUCUGUCUGAUACACUGUUUCGGAAUUGUCUGAGCUGGAAACCUGCUGAAAAAUGUGUCCAAGCACAUCACAAAGCAAUGCUUGCAAUUUGUAGUUUACCGCCUGUACUGCUGACAGUUUAGAGAUCAAAUAAUGAAGUGUGAGGGGUGUGCUGAUCACUGCCGACCUCGUUAUGUUACAUUUCAAGAAGAGAUGUGCAGCAGACUCACAACAUCCAACACCGCUCAACAGCUCAUUAAUCAGCAGCCUGCUGAUCUCUUGUCCUCUUUGCUAUUCCACUCAGCUAGAAACUAUGUUUAUACAGGAGCUCUCAAGGAAGUUGUUUCUAUAAAGGAGACAAAUACCUGUCUGGUCCUUCUUCUGGCUGUGGAAUGUGCUCGUCGCCAAGCCCAGAUAAGGCUCUCUGGAUAAACAGACGUUCCUCUCAAAAGCAAGAAAUAUGAGAAACCGCAUAACCAUCUACCUUCUUGAGUUCAACUAGGAUCCAAUGCAAAAUCUCUCUGGGAGGAUUUAAACAUGAACAUGAGAACAUGCAGGAAUUUCACAGUAAGAAAUAUUACUGACCAGACAACAUGACAGGGAGCCAGUGCCUCAUUUCUGUGUGGUUUUCCAGUUCCUUCUUUUUUCUUUCCUUUUCCUUUUUAUCUUCUAGAACCCAUUCGCUUUGUGUACUUAUUUCAAUUAAAAACAAAACAAGAAAACCACACACGCACAAGAAAAAGACUUUUUUUUUUUUCUUAGAGGUGGAAAACAAAGUAAUUAUUUUGUCCUGGUAAAUCUACCAAUGAAUAUAUGAAAAAAAAAGGUCAUUUGUUAGAAGUGAUACACCCAGCAUGGUAUACGAUAGUAGAAAUUAAUUUUCUUGCUACGAUUUUUUAAUAAUGUAUUACUUGUAAGACUUCUGUGCUCAGCACUCUCAACUGAAAUCAAAGCUCUGUCACUUCAGAUGCUCCUUAAAGCUAAAGUGGGGGGUGAUGGGAAAUAGAAGCUGAAGGUGAGUAAUGGACUUACAACCACAGUAAUGGUUUUUCACGUCACUGACAUUUAAAAAUUCAUUAAAUAAAAUAAUUCUGCCUGCAGAAGGAUAAUUAACUGGCCAUCUGGGCAACGGCUAGUAAAAAAAAGAAAGAAAGAAAAGGACAACCAACCACAAAAACCCACCACAAACAGAAUGAUUCCUGUGCAUUAUAUCAAUAUUUUCUACUCACAGGGGGAAAUGUUAGGUCAAGUCUCGAUGAAAUGGGCAGAAUUUCUAGCUCUUCAAAUUCAGAUAGUGCUCUAUCACAAUUAAUACAUAACUGGCUUUCUAUUUUUUUAUUUUUCCACUUCUACAUUGAAAACAUUGGCCGAUUUUUCACACUCACCUGCUGAUGAAAUUAGAAUUGGUGCUAUCUUUGGAUGCUUGAUGUUAAAUUAACAAUAUUUCCAGUGUGCUCUUACAGUAAACGCAAACAAGGUGUCUCUACCUGACUACCCACCUGAUGGCUUCCUUCCCAUUUGUCCGUCUGACUAUUAACCAAAGCACUAUUUAGAAUGUUUAUAGCAAGUAUAGCAAAACCAAGUGAACACCCUCAGUAUUUUCCAUCCAUUUUGAUCAAGAACAAUGCAAAAACUGUGUAACGGGAGAAAGCCAGCACGGAAUCCAAGUGCAUUUGCUUACACACAGCCUGCUCCACAAAUCCAAAAUCCAUUUUCAGUCUUGUACCUUGCAACUUUCCCCCUGCAGGAAAGCAUCUCCUCAGCUCCAACUUCCUAUAGCCUUCCACAGUAAUGAAUAAACAAGAUAUAAAAGUGAGCAUAUACACACUUAAAUCAGUAUAUAAAGCAUCAGUGAGGUAAGCAGCUGUUCUUUACAGUCCCAAGUCUGCCCUCCGUGGAGGCUAAGAAUGGAGGGAAGUGAAGGAACGAGUUUAAGCAGCCCAUCAGACUUGUCUCCUCCGUUUGAAAGCAGCCAGCAGGCAGGGACAGACAGCUGAAGGCAGGAGAACAUCACCCACUUCUUGCCUAGUCUGCUGCACACAAUAGGUUACUUUAAUUUAAUGAUGCCCUACUUUGAAGGGAGAGAAGAGGCUACUCAAUUUCAAAAUGGAUUGCUGAAUUAGACAGCAGUGGCAGCUUCUAAAUUCAUCACCGGGUAAUGUGAUAUAGUGAUACCAUGGUGUACAUCAUACUUCACACACAAGACAAACCCUUCAUGAAAGGGCAGAACACUGCAGAGCAUCCCAAAUUUUCAUUCCCUGUCAGUAUGUCAGUAUAUGCUAGAAGUGAAUAUACAGCUUGGGAAGGGGAGUGCUAUUUUCAGCAGCCUUUAUCAAAAGUCAGGAAGCCUCAUUUGAACAAGAAACAUCAUCUGUCAAUGCAGGAAAGAGAAUGAAUGAUAAUAUUUGUUUAAAAACUGCCAAGGAAUGAUUCAACAUUCAUCAGCUCACUUCAUUCUCAUUAGCAAUAUUGAAAUAUCCAAUUUAGAAACCUUUCACUUUUCCUUUUUAGACGAUGGUAUGUUUUUAAACUUGUUUUAUGGAGAAUAAUCAGUAAUAAUACUUCC
ensembl:lncRNA